AAAGCGCGAUAUGAAAUGCGAAUUGCGUAGUUAGUGAAUCAUCAUGUUUUUGAACGCAUUAUGCACCAUUGAACUUUGUUUGAUGGUAUGCUUCUUUGAGCAUCAAUCAUGUACUCGACACUAGUCGGAUUAUGUGCACAUAGUUUUGCGACUAAGUGCACUUCUUAAGUAAAUAAUGCCCAAUGUUGAAGGUUAAACUUUACAGUGUGCAAAUUUUCUUUUAAACGAUCUCAAAUGAAGUAGGACCACCUGCCUAAUUUAA
rnacentral:misc_RNA from 1 species